rnacentral:rRNA from 1 species
UACGGGGGGAGCAAGCGUUGUUCGGAUUUACUGGGCGUAAAGGGCGCGUAGGCGGCCACCGCAAGUCGACUGUGAAAUCUCCGGGCUUAACUCGGAAAGGUCAACUGAUACUGUGCGACUAGAGUGCAGAAGGGGCAACUGGAAUUCUCGGUGUAGCGGUGAAAUGCGUAGAUAUCGAGAGGAACACCUGCGGCGAAGGCGGGUUGCUGGGCUGACACUGACGCUGCGGAGCGAAAGCGUGGGGAGCAAACAGG